UACGGAGGGUGCGAGCGUUAUUCGGAAUUACUGGGCGUAAAGCGCGUGAAGGCGGCUUGACAAGUCUGAUGUGAAAGCCCUGGGCUCAACCUGGGAAGUGCAUUGAAAACUGUCAGGCUUGAGUACCGGAGAGGAUGGGGGAAUUACCGGUGUAGAGGUGAAAUUCGUAGAGAACGGGAGGAAUACCAGUGGCGAAGGCGCCCAUCUGGACGGUAACUGAAGCUGAGACGCGAAAGCGUGGGGAGCAAACAGG
rnacentral:rRNA from 1 species